rnacentral:rRNA from 1 species
UACGUAGGGUCCGAGCGUUGUCCGGAAUUAUUGGGCGUAAAGGGCUCGUAGGCGGUUUGUCACGUCGGGAGUGAAAACACGGGGCUUGACCCCGUGCCUGCUUCCGAUACGGGCAGACUAGAGGUAUGCAGGGGAGAACGGAAUUCCUGGUGUAGCGGUGAAAUGCGCAGAUAUCAGGAGGAACACCGGUGGCGAAGGCGGUUCUCUGGGCAUUACCUGACGCUGAGGAGCGAAAGCGUGGGGAGCAAACAGG